rnacentral:misc_RNA from 1 species
UACGGAGGGUGCAAGCGUUAAUCGGAAUUACUGGGCGUAAAGCGCGCGUAGGUGGCUUGAUAAGCCGGUUGUGCAAGCCUCGGGCUCAACCUGGAAACGGCAUCCGGAACUGUCAAGCUAGGGUGCAGGAGAGGAAGGUAGAAUUCCCGGUGUAGCGGUGAAAUGCGUAGAGAUCGGGAGGAAUACCAGUGUCGAAGGCGGCCUUCUGGACUGUCACUGACACUGAGGUGCGAAAGCGUGGGUAGCAAACAGG